UCCAGACUCCUACGGGAGGCAGCAGUGAGGGAUAUUGGUCAAUGGGGGGAACCCUGAACCAGCAACGCCGCGUGAGGGAAGACGGUUUUCGGAUUGUAAACCUCUGUCCUCUGUGAAGAUAAUGACGGUAGCAGAGGAGGAAGCCCCGGCUAACUACGUGCCAGCAGCCGCGGUAAUACGUAGGGGGCAAGCGUUAUCCGGAUUUACUGGGUGUAAAGGGGGCGCAGACGGCAGCGCAAGCCAGGAGUGAAAGCCCGGGGCCCAACCCCGGGACUGCUCUUGGAACUGCGCGGCUGGAGUGCAGGAGGGGCAGGCGGAAUUCCUGGUGUAGCGGUGAAAUGCGUAGAUAUCAGGAGGAACACCGGUGGCGAAGGCGGCCUGCUGGACUGCGACUGACGUUGAGGCCCGAAAGCGUGGGUAGCAAACAGGAUUAGAUACCCGAGUAGU
rnacentral:rRNA from 1 species